GGACCCUACUGGUUCUUCUUCAGGGAAAGAAAUACAGAUUCAACAUUUAGAUGUGCUACUGCAGCUUUUCUUUUGCUAACUCUGAAUCUGUAUUUCUUUGAAGAAGAACCUGUAGGGUCC